rnacentral:tRNA from 1 species
AUUGAAGUGGCAGAAAUUGCGGAGAAUUUAAGCUUCUUUAAUGGAAAUUUAUUUCCCUUUAAUA